ensembl:lncRNA
GUUAAAAUCCUUCAACCUCAGCAAUUUAUCUGCCAACUGUUUGCGCAGAGGGGCAGGUGAGUGUGUGUGUUGAAGGCUUUAAAACUUGACCACUUCUCCGAGGGAACACGUACAGAACGAUAACCUCGGACUCUUGCCUAAAUGUUCUCGUUCUUACGCUGCUCUUUCCAGCUGACGAUAUCGUCGACAUAAAACCAACAAGGACACGAGAAGCUUGGGUCUCGGUCGAUUGUGUGAAGUCGUAAAACGUAGUCUUUGUUUUCGCCUCUUAGUGUCUGCUACGCUUCCACAUUCGGUGCUUUGUGAGCUUCCUCCCAUCCCAACCCUGCUGCUUCCCCUCGGAGCCCCACGGGGCGGACGGACACGCCCCUCUCCCCCUCUCACUGGCCCAAACCGGCAGCCACCGCUCUCCUGAUUGGUCGGAAGGCACACCGGGGUGGAUGAGGGUGGGUCUUCUUUGUUUAUAUGCUGCUGCUGCUCCAAACCCCAACAACUGUUACUGCUAGCAACCAGCGACCCUGCUGUUAGGGACGGACAGCCGCGCACACACAGACAGACACACAGACGGGGCUCAAAAUCUUCAGUGUUUUUACAAAUCAGUCCAAAACUCCCAGACAGAAUUAUUCAUGCACAUGCUCACUCAUACUCACACAUUUCUAAGAAUACCCCCUAAAAGGGGACGGUUCAAAAUGAUAGGGUUCCAUGGCCGUAUGAAUGUGUGUGUGGGUAGUCAUUAUAACUACGCAUUAUGGAACUCCAGCUGAGAGCAGAGAAGGGACAGGAGGGACGCGGUUGUGUGUGUUGCCACUCAGUAUAGAGACUAUAUCAUAUGUCUUGAUUCAGACUCGCAGUGCUUAAUCCGAUUCAUACGGCUCAGACCCCGCCAUCCCACUCUACUUCCAGCUAACGAGCCCUGAGAAGAGGGAGAGGUGUGUGUGUGUGUGUACGUGUGAGUGCGUGCGCAUGCACGUGCACGUGUCUCUCCCUGCCUACCCCAUGCUGCUGCCAGCCCAGUAAUGGCACUUUAUUGUGAUUGAAGUUCUUGAAUAAGAGCAAGAAAAUCAAUGGAACUGUUCAGAGAGAUGUAUAGUGCGGUGACGGAACAAUCUCACUCUUUGUUUCUUUAUACAUUUGGUAGAAAUCAUUUUCUGCCCAAUCGCUCCUCAUUUAACUACAGAUAAAUGGCAAGUGCAAUAUAAACACACAUGUAUCAAAAUAAUCCUCUGACGUGAGUCAAUGCUAAAGCUUCUGUUCUCUGCUGACGUAUUUGACAGACAGGAUUUGUUUAAUGUAAACCCAGCGAUUGGCCUGGUAUUUUCUGAGAGAGCUUCUGUGUGACUACCAAUACAAUCCCCAGCAAGCUGUUUUACUGACUCAUAAACAUCUGCAGUUUGUCAAGCUAGACUGCCGUUAUGAACUUUGUAUUGUGUACGUUAAUACAAAACUAGGUUGUCCUAUUUAGAUGUAUACCGCCACUUAACCUGCACAAAAGAUAAAGAGAUUGGCUCUGUAUAAAGUGGGGUCAUGGACACAAACACACCAUGUGGGUCUGGCUUAGUGUGGGGUAUUUUGCUGAGUAAGAACCCUGGUUUAAACCACUCUCUGAGAGACAGAGAGAGACACACACACACACACACAGACAGACAG